AUUGAACGCUGGCGGCAUGCUUUACACAUGCAAGUCGAACGGCAGCACGGGAGCAAUCCUGGUGGCGAGUGGCGAACGGGUGAGUAAUAUAUCGGAACGUGCCCAGUCGUGGGGGAUAACGCAGCGAAAGCUGUGCUAAUACCGCAUACGAUCUAUGGAUGAAAGCGGGGGACCGUAAGGCCUCGCGCGAUUGGAGCGGCCGAUAUCAGAUUAGGUAGUUGGUGAGGUAAAGGCCCACCAAGCCGACGAUCUGUAGCUGGUCUGAGAGGACGACCAGCCACACUGGGACUGAGACACGGCCCAGACUCCUACGGGAGGCAGCAGUGGGGAAUUUUGGACAAUGGGCGCAAGCCUGAUCCAGCAAUGCCGCGUGCAGGAUGAAGGCCUUCGGGUUGUAAACUGCUUUUGUACGGAGCGAAAAGGCUCUCUCUAAUACAGGGAGUUGAUGACGGUACCGUAAGAAUAAGCACCGGCUAACUACGUGCCAGCAGCCGCGGUAACAC
rnacentral:rRNA from 1 species